UCUCCCCCACCCCCUGCCACCCAUCCCAGAAGAGUCAGGCCGGAGAGCCAGCCGGUAGGUGAGGUUGGCGGCGAACCGAGCCGGCAGCGAACUGCUCUGCGGCCGGGGAAGUGGAAGGCAGUAAUACUUGCCACAAGAGGGUGAACAAGAAAGGAUGGAAGCUACUGCUUCGUGCUGAUGACAUAAUGCUAUCAGAUGACAAAGAAAAGGCUGGAGUGCAGCGGUGCGAUCUCGGCUCACUGUAACCUCU
rnacentral:lncRNA from 1 species